rnacentral:rRNA from 1 species
CGGUGGAGCACGUGGUUAAUUCGAUGCAAACCGAAGAACCUUACCUGGGUUUGACAUGUACGUGGUACGGAUAUGAAAGUUGAAGGACUCCGCUUUCGGGUGGAGAGCGUACACAGGUGCUGCAUGACUGUCGUCAGCUCGUGUCGUGAGAUGUUGGGUUAAGUCCCGCAACGAGCGCAACCCCUGCAUUCAGUUGCCAUCGGGUGAAGCCGGGCACUCUGGAAGGACUGCCAUCGACAAGAUGGAGGAAGGUGGGGACGACGUCAAGUCAUCAUGGCCCUUAUGUCCAGGGCGACACACGUGCUACAAUGGCCGGCACAACGGGAAGCGAGUUCGCGAGGACGAGCGGAUCCCUUAAAGCCGGUCGCAGUUCGGAUUGAAGUCUGCAACUCGACUUCAUGAAGCUGGAAUCGCUAGUAAUCGCAGAUCAGCCAAGCUGCGGUGAAUACGUUCCCGGGCCUU